CUCCAUGUGCUCUGGGCCAGAUUUACUUGUCUGUGCCUGGGAAGCAGAACGACCAGCAAGUGUGCAAGCUUACGGAGCCUUUAAAGCUAAUCCCAGGACAGCCAGAGCUACACGGAAAAACUCUCAAAACAAGAAGUUAUUUUAGGGUUUGGGGAUUUAGCUCAGUGGUAGAGCACUUGCCUAGGAAGCGCAAGGCCCUGGGUUCAGUCCCCAGCUCCGAAAAAAAGACCCAAAAAAAAAAAAAAAAA
rnacentral:lncRNA from 1 species